ACACGGAGCUUGCUCUGUGGGAUCAGUGGCGAACGGGUGAGUAACACGUGAGCAACCUGCCCCUGACUCUGGGAUAAGCGCUGGAAACGGCGUCUAAUACUGGAUAUGUGACGUGACCGCAUGGUCUGCGUCUGGAAAGAAUUUCGGUUGGGGAUGGGCUCGCGGCCUAUCAGCUUGUUGGUGAGGUAAUGGCUCACCAAGGCGUCGACGGGUAGCCGGCCUGAGAGGGUGACCGGCCACACUGGGACUGAGACACGGCCCAGACUCCUACGGGAGGCAGCAGUGGGGAAUAUUGCACAAUGGGCGCAAGCCUGAUGCAGCAACGCCGCGUGAGGGACGACGGCCUUCGGGUUGUAAACCUCUUUUAGCAGGGAAGAAGCGAAAGUGACGGUACCUGCAGAAAAAGCGCCGGCUAACUACGUGCCAGCAGCCGCGGUAAUACGUAGGGCGCAAGCGUUAUCCGGAAUUAUUGGGCGUAAAGAGCUCGUAGGCGGUUUGUCGCGUCUGCUGUGAAAUCCGGAGGCUCAACCUCCGGCCUGCAGUGGGUACGGGCAGACUAGAGUGCGGUAGGGGAGAUUGGAAUUCCUGGUGUAGCGGUGGAAUGCGCAGAUAUCAGGAGGAACACCGAUGGCGAAGGCAGAUCUCUGGGCCGUAACUGACGGUGAGGAGCGAAAGGGUGGGGAGCAAACAGGCUUAGAUACCCUGGUAGUCCACCCCGUAAACGUUGGGAACUAGUUGUGGGGUCCAUUCCACGGAUUCCGUGACGCAGCU
rnacentral:rRNA from 1 species